rnacentral:lncRNA from 1 species
UCACUGGUGCCAUUUUCCCCUAAAUCUUCAGGAUCAGUUUUUAAAGUAAACCAGCCUACUUGUGAUUCUCUUUUGUGUUCAAGACCUUCCUACACAUUCCCUCUUUCAUCUUUCAGUAGAAUCCCUGAAAACAUCUUUGGGUUGGUGUAGGUGUGUAAAAGGAAUCAUCAAAAGCAUACAUGUUAUUAGGAGAACACAAGCAUCCUGGACUGAAACUACUACUUCUGCCUUCCACUUCUACAGACCAUGUGGACAAUGUCCUUUGUCCACCCUAGUCUAGAUUAGCAGAGAAACUUUUCUUCUGGAUUUUACUCUAAUUUUCCUUUAAAUGCCAAGGGCAUUGGGGAAAUGGUCCUUUCAAAGAGAGAGGAGGUACAAUCUUUCUCAUGGUCUCAAGAAAAGAGAGAACAGACCGGGAGGGAUGAAGAAGGCAAGGAGGAAGAGGAAAAAGAAGAGAGGAGGAGGAACAGGAGAAGAAUUGGAGAGAGGACAGGAGGUGCAGAAGAAAAAGAAGACAUGGCGGAGGAGGAGGAGGAGGAGGGUCUCACUCUGUGGCCCACCUGGAACUUGCAGUCCUCCUGCUCACCCUCCCAGGUUCUAGGAUUACAGGAUUACCACUGAGCUUGGCUGAGAUCUGUGACAUUAGAAGUGUGGUUCUUCCACGACCAACCUUCUGUGGAGCAUUCUCCAUGGUGCUGCACAUCUCAACAGGACUACUUUUCUAAGAAUCCCAACAAGGAAUGUGUGACCUGAGUUCUACACUUCUGGCAGAUCUGUGUGUUUGAAAACAAGUAUGAAAAGCCUUGGCGAUUCCACAGGCUGCACACCAACAUGUGGUAAAAUGACCCAGACUGUUUUACCAAGCUGUUUGCCCUUUAUCUUGUAAUAAAAUAUUACUUUAGUAUUCUUUUAUUU